GAGCUUCCUCGCCAGUGCAGUUUAUCAAGGUGGUCACCACGACCGGCGCUGCUGUCAGACUGUUGCGGUUAAACCGGCCUUGCGAUGGCCUUGUGGUAUUACAUGGUCGGGAUGGCAGGUAGCUCGUUAGCUUGCGAUUGCUUGCUUUCGAGUGUAAUCAGCUGACCGUGAUGGUUCUGUGCGGUGCGUCGGAGGCGGCGGCUAGUGGUGUGUGCAUGCGUGCCCGAUUUGCUGGCGUAUCCCGGUUUGGUUUCUGUGUUGCCUGUGCUAGCAGGCCUAGUUAUGGCUGGGGUUCGUUCAGUGAAUGGUUGCGUGUGUGACACUUCCAAGGGCCAAUAGUCUGUGGUGUAGUGGUAGACUAUCCACCUGACCCGUCUUGAAACACGGACCAAGGAGAGUAACAUGUACGCGAGUCAUUGGGCGUAACGAAACCCACAGGCGCAGUGAAAGUAAAGGUCUGACUUGUUCAGACUGAGGUGAGAUCCUGUCGUUUCCCACGCGUGGCAUCCCCAAGCACGGAGCGGCAGGCGCAUCACCGGCCCGUCACAUGACGUAGUCUCAUCCUUGGAUGUGCAUCGUCGUGGCGGAGCACGAGCGUACAUGUUGAGACCCGAAAGAUGGUGAACUAUGCUUGCGCAGGUUGAAGCCAGAGGAAACUCUGGUGGAGGACCGCAGCG
rnacentral:rRNA from 1 species